AGUGGCAUAGCUGGGUCAAAUGGUUGGAUUGACCAAUCAUUUGGUUCCAUUCCAAGUUUUCUAAGGAAUCCCCAUACUGCUUUCCAAAGUGAUUGCACUAAUUUGCAGUCCCACCAGCAAU
rnacentral:pre_miRNA from 1 species